rnacentral:ncRNA from 2 species
UUCCUUUCGCGCCAUUCAAGUUCCGGCCCCUCGCCGGAUAAUAGGGAACACGGAAGGGCCACCCGGCCCCAGCCGUGGCUGCCCCCGCAACUGUAAGCGGCGAGCGACGCCAAUCUGGCCACUGGGAAACCGGGAAGGCAGGCGAAGCCGAGACCCGCGAGCCAGGAGACCUGCUUGAAUGAUCACCCUUUC